GGCGGGGUAGCUCAGUCGGUUAGAGCAGCGGAAUCAUAAUCCGCGUGUCGGGGGUUCGAUUCCCUCUCCCGCUA
rnacentral:tRNA from 1 species